rnacentral:rRNA from 1 species
AGUGAACGCUGGCGGUAGGCCUAACACAUGCAAGUCGAACGGCAGCACAGUAAGAGCUUGCUCUUACGGGUGGCGAGUGGCGGACGGGUGAGGAAUACAUCGGAAUCUACUUUGUCGUGGGGGAUAACGGAGGGAAACUGACGCUAAUACCGCAUACGACCUACGGGUGAAAGCAGGGGAUCUUCGGACCUUGCGCGAUUGAAUGAGCCGAUGUCGGAUUAGCUAGUUGGCGGGGUAAAGGCCCACCAAGGCGACGAUCCGUAGCUGAUCUGAGAGGAUGAUCAGCCACACUGGAACUGAGACACGGUCCAGACUCCUACGGGAGGCAGCAGUGGGGAAUAUUGGACAAUGGGCGAAAGCCUGAUCCAGCCAUACCGCGUGGGUGAAGAAGGCCUUCGGGUUGUAAAGCCCUUUUGUUGGGAAAGAACAGCAGCGGGUUAAUACCCCGCUGUUCUGACGGUACCCAAAGAGUAAGCACCGGCUAACUUCGUG